ensembl:lncRNA
GAUAUUGCAAUCAAAAUUGUAUUGUGCACCAGAAAACAACAUAAAACCGCACAGAGCAUUUUCAGUCAAAAGGGAUUUAUUAUCCAAAAGAGUUUUGAAAUAAAGGAACUUAAUUGCAGUAGGCCUAGGCCUAUUUGUGCACAGCAAACAAGCAAGGAAAUAAAACCAGAAUAGACCCAAAAGAUAGCAUGCACUCAAAACAAGUGAUGAAACAUGCAAACAAGACCACUCAGCUGGGCCUAAUUAAAACAGGUAAUGCUUCAGACAUGCAAACAAAUAGGUUCAAAUAAUGUUCAAAUAAAUAGGUUCAAAUAGGUCAAUAUAAUGAUUCAAAUAAUUGAAAUAAUGAUUUAAAUCUGUGGCUGCAAUCUAUUAUCAACAUAAAUAGAACUGAGCAUUCCUGGGCAGUAGUUCGAGUUGGUAGCUCUCCACAGAAAAGCAUGUCCUCUUGUAGAAUACCACUCCAAUGAUAAUGCACAAAAAACAGCAGUAAUGCAGCGUUACUGACGUCCGUCGACUCGUCUAACUAUAUUGAAAAGAACGGGCUACCUUUCAUCCUUGCAGGACCGGCAACUUACUGUGUCGUUUGAAAGUGGUACUGUCAAGAGUUUUUUCGCAGCAUCUUCCCCAAUCAUCUCGUGGCACAUAUCCACCGCAGCUGGCAGAAACAGUUCCUCCACGCUCGUAAAGGCCUUCUUGGUCUGUGCAACACGUCCAGCUACCAAGUAACUUGCAUUCAAAGCACUCUUUUCUUUUGAAAUAUUCCACCGGCUUUUUAGCGAGUGCUGGAUGUCGCGUCUCCAAAUGUCGCUUCAGAUUUGAAUGUUUGAGCGCCUCAUUAGACAGCUUUAAAACGCACUCGACACACUGCGCUCUGGGCUCAACGUCGUCACCUCCAUUCACAAAACCAAAUCUAAUAUAAUCAGGGUUGUAUUAACGCUGGAUUUUAGUAGUUUUCGGUAGUAUGACAUUACCAGUGCUGUCAUUCUUUCGCUUUAGAAACUUCUCAAUUUUUCCGCUAAUAUCGUCACGGAGUAGAACGUUACCUUAACUGAGCGCCUCAACUUGAUCACGCUGUAAAGUUCGAACAAGAU